UUUACUGUGGCUCAAUUGGCAGUGCAUUGCGCUAACAAUGCAGAGGUCGUGGGUUCAAAUCCCAAGGAAAA